UACGAGGGAUCCUAGCGUUGUUCGGAAUCAUUGGGCGUAAAGCGCACGUAGGCGGAUCUUUAAGUCAGAGGUGAAAUCCCAAGGCUCAACCUUGGAACUGCCUUUGAUACUGGGGAUCUCGAGUUCGGGAGAGGUGAGUGGAACUGCGAGUGUAGAGGUGAAAUUCGUAGAUAUUCGCAAGAACACCAGUGGCGAAGGCGGCUCACUGGCCCGGUACUGACGCUGAGGUGCGGAAGCGUGGGGAGCAAACAGG
rnacentral:rRNA from 1 species